rnacentral:rRNA from 1 species
UACAGAGGUCUCAAGCGUUGUUCGGAUUCAUUGGGCGUAAAGGGUGCGGUAGGCGGCGCGGUAAGUCGGGUGUGAAAUCUCGGAGCUUAACUCCGAAACUGCAUUCGAUACUGCCGUGCUUGAGGAGCUGGAGAGGAGACUGGAAUUUACGGUGUAGCGGUGAAAUGCGUAGAUAUCGUAAGGAAGACCAGUGGCGAAGGCGGGUCUCUGGACAGUUCCUGACGCUGAGGCACGAAGGUCAGGGGAGCAAACGGG